AGAACGAACGCUGGCGGCAGGCUUAACACAUGCAAGUCGAACGCUCGUAGCAAUACGGGAGUGGCAGACGGGUGAGUAACGCGUGGGAACAUACCCUCCGGUUCGGAAUAGCUCAGGGAAACUUGGAUUAAUACCGGAUACGGCCGAGAGGCGAAAGAUUUAUCGCCGGAGGAUUGGCCCGCGUUCGAUUAGCUAGUUGGUGAGGUAACGGCUCACCAAGGCGAUGAUCGAUAGCUGGUCUGAGAGGAUGAUCAGCCACAUUGGGACUGAGACACGGCCCAAACUCCUACGGGAGGCAGCAGUGGGGAAUAUUGGACAAUGGGCGCAAGCCUGAUCCAGCCAUGCCGCGUGAGUGAUGACGGCCUUAGGUUGUAAAGCUCUUUCGCUCGGGACGAUAAUGACGGUACCGAGAUAAGAGCCCGGCUAACUUCGCGCCAGCAGCCGC
rnacentral:rRNA from 1 species